AUGAACAUGGAUAAUUUUCAAGAGAUCCAUGUUUCUAAUCAUCCUACUAUACCACAACUCCAAAACCAGAAACAUCAAAAGUUUCAAAGAAGCUGAAAUUGCCAAACAACAGUGUAAAGUGAGCGUCGAAGCUUAAAUCUAUGCUUGAGAGCAGUCACUUUAUAAAAAUCUUCCUCUUGUUUACUACUUUGCUCGGCACUUCCAUGGUCAUCGGUGAUGGUGUUCUCACACCUUGCAUAUCUGGUUAGUAUAAAAUGUAUUUAUACAUUGAUACAUAAUAUUGAUGUAUGCUUAAUCUUAAUCAGUAAUAGUUAAUAAUUUUUUUCAAUUGGUUGCAGUUUUAUCUGCAGUUGGAGGGAUCAAGGAAGCUGCUAGCAAAAUAAGUGAGGGUAGGUACUUUUGUUCAUAAUUUAGGAUUUAGAAUUUAUGGUUUUGUAGAUUUGGGAUUUAAGUUAAUUGCUUGUGUUGCUUGUGCAUAUGCAGAUCAAAUUGUUUGGAUAUCAGUGGCAAUCUUGAUUGUUCUUUUCAUGGUUCAGAGAUUUGGAACUGAUAAAGUUUGGAUAUGCACAAGCAACACAAGCAAUUAACUUAAAUCCCAAAUCUACAAAACCAUAAAUCCUAAAUCCUAAAUUAUGAACAAAAGUACCUACCCAGAUAUUAUGUAUCAAUUGACCAGAUAUGCAAGGUGUGAGAACACCAUCACCGAUGACCAUGGAAGUGCCAAGCAAAGUAGUAAACAAGAGGAAGAUUUUUAUAAAGUGAUUGUUCUCAAGCAUAGAUUUAAGCUUCGACGCUCUCUUUUCACUGUUGUUUGGCAAUUUCAG
rnacentral:lncRNA from 1 species